UUUAUAUAAUCAAUCUAGUGUCUAGAUUCUUGACACUAUAAGGCUCUGAGAAAUGUAUAGCUGUGAAGGAUUUUUUUUCCCAAUCCAUAAACUGCCUCCACACUUGUACCUGUUAUCUUGGGUUAUAGUCAUGUCUUCUUUGAGUUCUUUGGAUAUAGUUAAAAUCAAUCUUUUGAGUUGUUUGUCUGGAAGUUCUUCCAGGUCAUUCUGACUGGAGGCCUUUACUAUGAGAUUGGGGAUUUUUGGAAGAAACAUGCUGUCAUGGUUUUUCUUGACAUUCUUCUUUCUGUGCUGGGACUUACACAUCUGGAGUAGUUUGUUGGUUAUUUCCUGUGGCAGUUUGAAUAAGUUUGGCCCCCAGAGACUCAUGUGUUUGAAUGCUUGGGCCAUGAGAGUGGCACUAUUAGGAGGUGUGGCCUUGUUAGAGGAAGUGUGUCACUGUGGGGUGGUCUCUGGGUUCUCCUGCACUCAGGCUCUGUCCAGUGCAGACGACAGUCUCUUCCUGACUGCCUUCAGAUCAAGAUGUAGAACUCUCCGUUCCUCCAGCAUUAAGUCUACCUGCACCAUCUCAUGCUUCCUGCCAUGAUGAUAAUAGACUGAACCUCUGAAACUGUAAGCCAGCCCCAAUUAAAUGUGUUCUUUUAUAAGAGUUUCCUUGAUCAUGGUGUCUCUUCACAGCAAUUGAAACCCUCAGACAUUUCCUUUUUCCUUCCUUCCUUCUUCCUUUCAUUCUUUUUGUUUAAGUUACCUUUCUUCUUCUUCUUCUUCUUCUUCUUCUUCUUCUUCUUCUUCUUCUUCUUCUUCUUCUUCUUCUUCUUCCUCCUCCUCCUCCUCCUCCUCCUCCUCCUCCUCCUCCUCUUCCUCCUCCUUUUUUUUUUUGUUUGUUUGUUUGUUUUCUGUUUUUUCGAGACAGGGAUUUCUCUGUAUAGCCCUGGCUGUCCUGGAACUCACUUUGUAGACCAGGCUGGCCUCAAACUCAGAAAUCUGCCUGCUUCUGCCUCCCAAGUGCUGGGAUUAAAGGCGUGCACCACCACGCCUGGCACCUUUCUUCUUUAAGUGGAGGGCUUUACAAUGUUUAGGAAGAGCCUAAGUCUUAGUAGGGUUGAGAUGUUCUUUUCAUCUCAAGUCUGAUACUUUGAGGUGCUCAGGGUCCAUCCCUAAUCUUCCUUGAGAGUCAUCUACUGUCUGGAACCUACAGCAGAAUUCCUGGGGCAUUGUAGGUGCAUCCUAGUUAAGGAGAUCACACAAGCUGGGCAACUAACAUUUCCAGGCAGCAUUGGUCUGCCUGAGUAGCGGAAGCCCAGGUCCAUUAUGUGGUGCUAGACUCUUGGAGCAAACUUGGGCACCUGCUGUAAUGUUUCCAGGUAGCAAACGUUUCCCUAAGUAGGUGAAAUCUAGGAUCUCUGGUCUAGUGCAGGCGGUCUCUUGAAUCUCUAUGUGGAUUUUGAGAUUGGUUUGUUGAAUCCUGCUAAGAAUCUCUCUGGGAUCUUAAUCAUGUUAAUGUUGAACUUGUAGAUCACUUUAGCAAAUGGUACUGUGUCAAUGCUUACACUGCUAGUUAAGUCUUCCUAAUUUUUUUUUGGGGGGGUCUGUUUAGUUUUUUGGUUUUUCAAGACAGGGUUUCUCUGUAUAGCCCUGGCUGUCCUGGAACUCACUCCAUAGACUAGGCUGGCCUCGAACUCAGAAAUCCACCUGCCUCUGCCUCCUGAGUGCUGGAAUUAAAGGGAUGGGCCACCACUGCCUGGCUUGUCUUCCUGAUUCUAAACAUGAGCUGUCUUCACAUUUGUCUAAGGCUUCUUCAUUUCUCUCUGAAGUAUUCUGUGGUUUCCAGUGUGUAGGCCCUAUACUCCCUUUGUCAAACUUUUUUCCAAAUGUACUUUUUGAUGUGAGACUUUGUAUUUUUUGGACAAGGUCUCACUGUGUAGCUCUACAUACUCUGUGAAGCCCUUGCAUAAAAUGGUUUUCCAAAUGUCGUACUGCUUGCUUUUAGUAUACAUAAAUCCUAUUGAUUUAUUUCUAAUGAUCCUUGGAAUAGAAAAAUUAAUGUUUUAUAAAUGCUGGCCAAGUGCUCUCACACUGAGCUAUAUACGAGCUCCUUUACAUUGGCUUUGUAUCUUUGCUGUGCUUGGUUAUAAGGUCUAAUAGAUUUUAUGUAUGUUUUCCAGGAGAUUUUUUUUUAUCAAUUUUAAAUACUAUUCUAGGAUGGUAGACAGAGAUUAAACAUCUGUGAUAAGUACUUCCUGGCCCCAGAACCUCUUCCUCAUCUUCUCUCUCCUAUGACUGGAAAUAUUUACUGAUCAAUAUCCACUGCAAUGUUUCCCUUUCUCAUAAAUAAUUUGACAGUACUUGUCUUAGGGUUUUAUUGCUGUGAACAGACACCAUGACCAAGGCAAGUCUUAUGACAACAUUUAAUUGGGGCUGGCUUACAAGUUCAGAGAUUUAGUCCAAUAUCAUCAGGGCAGGAACAUGGAAGCAUCUCAGCAGGCAUGGUGCAGGAAGAGCUGAGAGUUCUACAUCUUCAUCUGAAGGCUGCUAGUGAAAAACUGGCUUCCAGGCAGCUAGAUGGGGGUUUUAAAGCCCAUGCCCAUGGUGAUACAUCUAUUCCAACCUUCUAAUAGUGCCACUCCUGGGCUGAGCACAUUCAAACUACUUCUCCAUUUGCCUUUUUUACUCACUAUAUACUUAGUACCCAAGAAAACUUUCAGUAUUUGCUAAAUAAGCAAGGGUAAUCGAUUAAUUUACGCACAUAAUGAUACUCCCACAAUUAUCAUUUUUCCAUGGCAUAGGCAAUAUCAGACAAUAUGUCAGAACAUAUUGGUUCAUGCUCUGGUAACAAAUGACCUCUAAGUUCUAGAUACUAAUAAAAGGAAAGGCUUAUAUCCUUUUCCUCUCCUCUCCCCUCCCCUCCCCUCCCCUCCUAUAAUGUUGCUGAUGCUGUAGUGCAUGGAAAGGGGUAUGUGUUACACUACACAUUGGCUUUUAAAAACCAUCUGCUCCAAAGUGACUCAUCACUUUUGCUGAGGAUAUGCUGGGCACACAGGUCCUAUAGGAAGGUGUGCUGGUUGGUUCUUUGACAGCUUGACAUAUCUAGAGUCCUUUGAGAAGCAGAGGCUUAACUAACAAAACACCUCCAUCAGAUUGGCUUGCAGGCAAGUCUGUAGGGACCUUUUACUGUUUGAUGGGGGGAGGGCCUGGCCCACUGUGGUCUGUGUUAUCCUGGACAGAUGGUCCAGGGUUCUAUAAGAAAUUAAGGUGAGCAAGCCAGAAGCCAGCCAGUAAGGAACAUCUCUCCAUGGCCUCUGCAUCAGCUCCUGCUUCCUGACCUGCUUGAGUUUCAGUCCUGGCCUCCUUUGGUAAUGAACAGCAAUGUGGAAGUGUAAACUGAAUAAAUCCUUUCCUCCCCAACUUGCUUCUUAGUCAUGAUGUUUGCACAGGAAUAGAAACCCUGACUGAGAUAGAAGCCAUAGCAGUGCUCUCUUCCCUUGGCUGCUUUUGCUCACGGUGUUUUCUCAAACCAACAGAGAACAGAAUAGGACACACUAACUUGACAACACUCAGGCAGAGAGGGUUGCUAAGAGGAGGAGCUUCAAGGCUGGCAGACAAAUAAUUCAGUCCAUCACAAUAACUUGUCAGAUCCCUUCCUCUGGCAACCUUCCCACCUCACUCUUCAUGCUCUCUGGGUUGGCCUCACAGCCCUUGUGCCAGAGAUUUCCUUUGUCUUCAUUCAUGCAAGGACCUUGUAAAUCAGGGGGUGUGGAUCUAUUUUUUGGAUCUUUCUCUCUGUUUACUAUUUGCUUUGUCUCCAUUCUCCUAGCACAAUAAGAAGGCAGGCAUGAGAGGCACAUUUUAUUAUUAUUAUUAUUAUUAUUAUUAUUAGUAGUAGUAGUAGUAGUAGUAGUGGUGGUGGUACAUAUCCCAGAUUGAUCUCAAAUUCAUGAUCCUCCCGUGUCAGCCCUGAUUAAUGAUUAUUUUUUAAAAUAAGCAUCUAUAGUUUGCAUUGUACUUCUUUAUUCUUAGCCUUUGUCAGGUCUGCAUGUUAAUGUUGCCUCCAAAUACCUAUGCUGAAAACGUAUUCCCAAAGCAAUAAUAGGAAGAGGAAGGGUCUUAUGAAGUAAUUAGAUUAUGAGGACUCUGUUUCAUUAAUGGGAUUAGUGUUUUGUUUUAUUUUUAUCAAAGAAGCCCAGGAGUUCUUGGGCCAUGCCUCCUGCCAUGUGAGCACAGAGCACAAGGCCCGUUUAAGUCACUGAAUGUGCCACUGUGUUGUUCUUUGACUUGGUAUUUUUCAGAACUGUGAGAAGAAUAUGUAUGUUGAUUAGAAAUGAUCUGUCCUCGGGCUGGAGCACUGGACGCUCUUCCAGAGGUCCUGGGCUCAAUUCCCACCAACCGCAUGGUGGCUCAGAGUCAUCUAUAAUUAUAGUCCCAUAGGUUCCAAUGCCUUCUUCUAGUGUGCAAAUGUAUGUACAGACAAGACACCAUAUAUACAAAUUACAUAAAUAAGUAAAUCUUUAAAAAAAAGAAAGAAAAACCUUCUAGCUUAUGGUAUUUUCAUUAUAGUAGGUUGAAUAGACUAGGCCUCCCUCCACCUUUAUUCUUUUUUUAAAAAAGAAAAUAACAAUUUUUAAAAAAUUUUCCUUUAUGAGCAUUGGUGUUUUACCUGCAUGUAUUUCUGUAUGAGGGAGUCAGACGUCUUAGCAGCUGAAUCAUCUCUCCAGUCCCUUCCCUUUUAUUCUUUUGUUUUUAUUUUUUAAGACAAUGUCUCUCUGUGUAGACCUGGCCUUCCUGGCACUCAGUCUGUAGACCAGACUGGUCUUGAACUCAGAGAGAUCCGCCUGCCUCUGCCUUCCCAGGGCUGGGAUUAAAGGUGUGUGCCAACGCCACCUGGCUUCUUUUUAUUCUUUAUUAUCCAUGUUAGUGGUAGAUUAUAGUUAUUUGUUACUGUUGUUUUCUAUUUUCCCUGUGUCUGGAUGUUGCUAAGGCUGACGCAAAUGCACUCUGGCAUGGGCUGGUUAGCAGUGAAGCUUCACUAUGGCAGCUGGCGACAAGAGCCUAAUUGUCACUGGGGAACGUCGGUAUCUAGAAAUAAAUUGUUUUUCUGUAGCCAGCUAGAUUUUCUAAAUAAGCUUCCAGUCUCUGCCUGAUGUUCAAGUGCCAGCCAUACUUCAAGAAGCCAGGCACGGCUUUUAAUUAGGAGAGCAAACUAAGCUGCUGCAGAGGUUCAAAGUGAAGCUGGCCUGAAAAACGAAGCUCUCUUGUGUACUUAUGUCAAGAUGGAUAAAUGGAUUGGUUGUGUUCUAGUGGACAUUCAGGGCAUGUUUUUUCUUCAGUCGAUGUAUACUUGAAGAAUCGUGGUUCCGAAGGGAAUGCUUCCCACAAUGACAUACACAAGAGGCGCUUAGAGCCAUGGUUCUCAACCUGUGGGUCCCGACCCCUUUAGGUUUACACAUCAGAUAACCUGCACAUGAGAUAUUUAUGUUGUAACUCAUAAAAGUAGCAAAAUUACAGUUAUGAAAUAGCAAUGAAAUAAUUUUACGUUUGCAGGUCCCCACAGCGUGAGGAAUGGUAUUAAAGGGUCACAGCGUCAGGAAGGUUGGGGAGCACUGCUGUAGAGUAUUGUUAUAGUGCAACUAUUCAGCUCAAUUUCUGAUUUACUGAGUCAGAACCUCCGUGUAGGACUUGGCAUUUUCUUAGGCCUUUUGUGACUUUGAUCUCUGUGUACUUCCACCUGUACACACACCCGUGCUUCCAGUGUCAGGAAGGACGAGAGGAGGGACUUGUACUAACAUAGGAGUUUCAGGUUGUGCUACAUAGAGAUUCUAUGUGUCAAAAAACCAGCUAACCUUCCAGUUGACUGAACAAUACCUAAAACAAAAUCCCAGGCCACGCCUUUAAUCCCGUCACUGGGCAGGCAAAUUUCUGUGAGUUUGAGGACACUCAGGUUUACAUAGUGAGACCCUAUUUAAAAGCAGCAACAACAAACCUACAUAAAAGUAUGCACUGUUUUAGAGCAUUUUAUGCCCUAUGAUAAAAUAACGGUUUCAGCUAACGCCUAUGCUCUUUCUCAAAGAAAAAAUGGUGGCAGAGGCAGAUUUGGUGGCAUACCUUUAGUCUCAGCACUCAGGAGGCAGAAGCAGGUAGAUCUCUGAAUCUGAGGUCAGUGUGGCAUAAAAGUAAGUUCUAGGGCAUCCCCAGGGUGGAGACUUGCUUAAGGAGAAGAGUUCCUAAACUACCAGCUCGGGGGAUGGG
rnacentral:lncRNA from 1 species